AUUGAACGCUGGCGGCAGGCCUAACACAUGCAAGUCGAACGGUAACAGGAAACAGCUUGCUGUUUCGCUGACGAGUGGCGGACGGGUGAGUAAUGUCUGGGAAACUGCCUGAUGGAGGGGGAUAACUACUGGAAACGGUAGCUAAUACCGCAUAACGUCGCAAGACCAAAGAGGGGGACCUUCGGGCCUCUUGCCAUCGGAUGUGCCCAGAUGGGAUUAGCUUGUUGGUGGGGUAACGGCUCACCAAUGCGACGAUCCCUAGCUGGUCUGAGAGGAUGACCAGCCACACUGGAACUGAGACACGGUCCAGACUCCUACGGGAGGCAGCAGUGGGGAAUAUUGCACAAUGGGCGCAAGCCUGAUGCAGCCAUACCGCGUGUGUGAAGAAGGCCUUCGGGUUGUAAAGUACUUUCAGCGGGGAGGAAGGGAGUAAAGUUAAUACCUUUGCUCAUUGACGUUACCCGCAGAAGAAGCACCGGCUAACUCCGUGCCAGCAGCCGAGGUAAUACGGAGGGUGCAAGCGUUAAUCGGAAUUACUGGGCG
rnacentral:rRNA from 1 species